rnacentral:rRNA from 1 species
CCCUUAGAUGUUCUGGGCCGCACGCGCGCUACACUGAAUGGAUCAACGUGUUUUCCCUUCCCGAGAGGGACGGGUAACCCGCUGAACCCCAUUCGUGGUAGGGAUCGGAGCUUGCAAUUGUUCUCCGUGAACCAGGAAUUCCCAGUAAGCGCAAGUCAUAAGCUUGCAUUGAUUACGUCCCUGCCCUUUGUACACACCGCCCGUCGCACCUACCGAUUGAAUGGUCCGGUGAAAUCUCGGGACGGCGGCUUGGUCGCUUGCGUCCGACUGCUGAAACUUGAUUAAACCAUAUCAUUUAGAGGAAGGUGAANUCGUANCA